rnacentral:lncRNA from 1 species
ACCCAUAUCAAGCAUUCGAUCUGCCUCAUCUAAAGCCAAGUACCUUAUCAUCUGUAACGAGACUCUAGCUCUCUCGAGUAAAUCAACCAAUCUUCCAGGUGUUGCCACAAGAAUAUGCACUCCUCUCUCUAGUUCUCGAAGCUGUCACGCCCCAAAAACAUCUAUAAGAAGUAAAUCAACCAAUCGUCCAGGUGUUGCCACAAGAAUAUGCACUCCUCUCUCUAGUUCUCGAAGCUGUCACGCCCCCAAAAACUUCUAUAAGCAACUCUGAACUGCUUUUAAUGAUGAUAGACAUUUUAAUCUAUUUAUUGGGCACAUAUGAGGUGUCUCUCUCAUAAUGCAUGCGUGAAACCAUACAACAAUUUGCAUAUUCACUAUCUUGUAAACCGUUCAAAAAUUGUCAUGUAAUUAGACUAGAAAGAACCUCUUGCUGAAAGAUAAAAUUCACUGAAUUGAAGGACAAUUUCACACGUGUACAACUUCUGUAAGACGUCAAACAAAAUUGGGAAAGAUAAAGCAGGUGCAAAAAUAUGACAAGUGCAGGUAAGAUCAAGCUUCAACGAAAGCAAUGUUCUUCUUUCACAAAAAAUGAUCUCUCUGAUAGGCAUGAGAAUUUCAAACAGCCUCAACAUAGAAAUGGUAAAACUGGCCUAUGACCGAUGGCUUUUAUCCCCAAUCAAAGUAAAAACUUUUAUCCUUUAUCACUGUAGAGGAAUCUCCAGGACAACAUAAACUUUGUCGCGAGUGUAGGACACAAAUAUAGUCCUUUCUUCUUUAGAAACAGUGGUUUACCAAGAGAACUGUAGGUAAUUGAGCAACAAGGGCAUAACAAAUAAUCCCAAUAGAUGCCACAGAACGAUCUCAGCUGAAUGGAAUAGGCAAAAGUGAAAGCACCGAGCAAACAAGAGAAGAAAUAAAC